UGGGGAAUCUUGCGCAAUGGGCGAAAGCCUGACGCAGCCAUGUCGCGUGAAUGAUGAAGGUCUUAGGAUUGUAAAGUUCUUUCGCCCGUGACGAUGAUGACGGUAACGGGAGAAGAAGCCCCGGCUAACUUCGUGCCAGCAGCCGCGGUAAUACGAAGGGGGCUAGCGUUGUUCGGAUUUACUGGGCGUAAAGGGCGCGUAGGCGGCAAUUCAAGUCAUCUGUGAAAUCUCCGGGCUUAACUCGGAACGGUCAGAUGAUACUGCUUUGCUAGAGUGCAGAAGGGGCAAUCGGAAUUCUUGGUGUAGCGGUGAAAUGCGUAGAUAUCAAGAGGAACACCUGAGGUGAAGACGGGUUGCUGGGCUGACACUGACGCUGAGGCGCGAAAGCCAGGGGAGCAAACGGGAUU
rnacentral:rRNA from 1 species